rnacentral:rRNA from 1 species
CCUACGAGUGGCAGCAGUAGGGAAUCUUCCACAAUGGGCGAAAGCCUGAUGGAGCAACGCCGCGUGGGUGAAGAAGGUCUUCGGAUCGUAAAACCCUGUUGAUAGAGAAGAAAGUGCGUGAGAGUAACUGUUCACGUUUCGACGGUAUCUAACCAGAAAGCCACGGCUAACUACGUGCCAGCAGCCGCUGUAAUACGUGGGUGGCAAGCGUUAUCCGUAGUUUUGGGGCGUAAAGGGAACGCAGGCGGUCUUUUAAGAUGGAUGUGAAAGCCUUCGGCUUAACCGGAGUAGUGCAUUGGAAACUGGGAGACUUGAGUGCAGAAGAGGAUAGUGGAACUCCAUGUGUAGCGGUGAAAUGCGUAGAUAUAUGGAAGAACACCAGGGGCGAAAGCGGCUCUCUGGUCUGUAACUGACGCUGAGGUUCGAAAGCGUGGGUAGCAAACAGGAUUAGAUACCCGGUAGUC